GUGUCAGCAGCCGCGGUAAUACGUAGGGUGCGAGCGUUAAUCGGAAUUACUGGGCGUAAAGCGUGCGUAGGCGGUCCGCGAAGUCUGAUGUGAAAGCCCCGGGCUCAACCUGGGAACUGCAUUGGAAACUAACGGGCUCGAGUGUGGCAGAGGGGGGUGGAAUUCCACGUGUAGCAGUGAAAUGCGUAGAGAUGUGGAGGAACACCGAUGGCGAAGGCAGCCCCCUGGGCUAACACUGACGCUCAGGCACGAAAGCGUGGGGAGCAAACAGGAUUAGAUACCCUGGUAGUCCACGCCCUAAACGAUGUCAACUGGGUGUUGGGGAAGCGAUUCCUCAGUACCGUAGCUAACGCGUGAAGUUGACCGCCUGGGGAGUACGGCCGCAAGGUUAAA
rnacentral:rRNA from 1 species